rnacentral:rRNA from 1 species
AGGAUAAACGCUGGCGGCGUGCCUAACACAUGCAAGUCGAACGUCUCUUUCUUCGGGAAGAGGAGUGGCGGACGGGUGAGGAACACGUGGGAACCUGCCCUUCAGUGAGGAAUACCGGCGAGAAAUCGCCGACAAGACCGCAUAGCCCUCUCUGGUGAGAGCCAGAGAAGGAAAGCCUCGCAAGAGGCGCUGGAGGAGGGGCCUGCGUCCGAUUAGCUAGUUGGUGGGGUAAGAGCCUACCAAGGCGUCGAUCGGUAGCUGGUCUGAGAGGACGAUCAGCCACACUGGGAUUGAGAACGGCCCAGACUCCUACGGGGGGCAGCAGUGAGGAAUUUUCGGCAAUGGGGGAAACCCUGACCGAGCAACGCCGCGUGCAGGAAGACGGCCUUCGGGUUGUAAACUGCUUUCUUUGGGACGAGCAAGGACGGUACCAGAGGAAUCAGCCCGGCUCACUACGUGCCAGCAGCCGC